rnacentral:tRNA from 2 species
GGAGGCUUAGCUCAGCGGGAGAGCACUUGCUUGACGUGCAAGGGGUCAUGGGUUCAAUCCCCUUAGCCUCCACCA